GAUGAACGCUGGCGGCGUGCCUAAUACAUGCAAGUCGAGCGAACAGACGAGGAGCUUGCUCCUCUGACGGUAGCGGCGGACGGGUGAGUAACACGUGGAUAACCUACCUAUAAGACUGGGAUAACUUCGGGAAACCGGAGCUAAUACCGGAUAAUAUAUUGAACCGCAUGGUUCAAUAGUGAAAGACGGUUUUGCUGUCACUUAUAGAUGGAUCCGCGCCGCAUUAGCUAGUUGGUAAGGUAACGGCUUACCAAGGCGACGAUGAGUAGCCGACCUGAGAGGGUGAUCGGCCACCCUGCAACUGAGACACGGUCCAGACUCCUACGGGAGGCAGCAGUAGGGAAUCUUCCGCAAUGGGCGAAAGCCUGACGGAGCAGCGCCGCGUGAGUGAUGAAGGUCUUCGGAUCGUAAAACUCUGUUAUUAGGGAAGAACAAAUGUGUAAGUAACUAUGCACGUCUUGACGGUACCUAAUCAGAAAGCCCCGGCUAACUACGUG
rnacentral:rRNA from 1 species